UCUACCUGCACUUGAACCGCCAUUUUCUCGGCUCAGACAACUGGGAAGAAGAUAGCUAGAUACUGAAUUACCACUGUCUCCAUCGUUUUUGAAGCCAGGAUACAACUCAUUUGGACUACCAAAGACCACCAUGGCUGGUUCAACACCUGCAAGACUGAAGAUGAUUUU